AAAUAAAUAACUAAAAAAACUUUAUUUUAAAUCUAAAUAUACUCUAUCCUCAUUUAUAAAAAUAAACUUUAUUUUUUAAAACAAUUUUAAAUUUACAAAAAAUUAAACAAAUAAUAAAAAAUUCGUAUACAACUCUUACCUCCCCCUCGUCCCCAUAAAAUUUCCCUAUUAAUAACAACUCACAUUAAUAUAAAACAUUUAUUACAAUUAAUAAAUCAAUCUUAAUACAUUAUUAUUAAUUAAAACCCAUA
rnacentral:misc_RNA from 1 species